rnacentral:rRNA from 1 species
AUGUACAUUCCUACAACAUAGCAAUAAUGCACUGGAUCCAAUUAGAACUCCGCAGUUAAAAAUGCUCGGGCCAGAGUUGUAUUGGGAUGGGUGAUUGCCCGGGAGUCCUAGUAUUUUACAUG